UACAGAGGUCUCAAGCGUUGUUCGGAUUCAUUGGGCGUAAAGGGUGCGUAGGCGGCGCCGUAAGUCGGGUGUGAAAUUUCGAGGCUUAACCUCGAAGCUGCAUUCGAUACUGCGGUGCUUGAGGACUGGAGAGGAGACUGGAAUUCAUGGUGUAGCAGUGAAAUGCGUAGAGAUCAUGAGGAAGACCAGUGGCGAAGGCGGGUCUCUGGACAGUUCCUGACACUGAGGCACGAAGGCCAGGGGAGCAAACGGG
rnacentral:rRNA from 1 species